rnacentral:rRNA from 1 species
GACGAACGCUGGCGGCGCGCCUAACACAUGCAAGUCGAGCGAGAACCAGGGCUUCGGCCCUGGGGACAGCGGCGAACGGGUGAGUAACACGUGGAUAACCUGCCCUCGGCACCGGAAUAGCCCGAGGAAACUCGGAUUAAUGCCGGAUAGCCCCACAUCCCUGCGGGGAACGUGGGAAAAGGUAGCUUCGGCCUCUGGCCGGGGAUGGGUCCGCGGUGGAUUAGCUUGUUGGCGGGGUAACGGCCCACCAAGGCGACGAUCCAUAGCUGGUCUGAGAGGAUGAUCAGCCACACUGGGACUGAGACACGGCCCAAACUCCUACGGGAGGCAGCAGUGGGGAAUAUUGGACAAUGGGCGCAAGCCUGAUCCAGCCAUGCCGCGUGAGUGAUGAAGGCCUUAGGGUUGUAAAGCUCUUUCAGCUGGGAAGAUAAUGACGGUACCAGCAGAAGAAGCCCCGGCUAACUCCGUGCCAGCAGCCGCAGUAACAC